rfam:Salmo salar isolate Sally breed double haploid chromosome ssa13, whole genome shotgun sequence.
UAGCUCAGUUUGUAGAGCAUGGUGUUUGCAACGCCAGGGUUGUGGGUUUGAUUCCCAC